rnacentral:rRNA from 1 species
GACGAACGCUGGCGGCGUGCCUGAUACAUGCAAGUCGAGCGCAGGAAGCCGUCUGAACCCUUCGGGGGGACGACGGUGGAAUGAGCGGCGGACGGGUGAGUAACACGUAAAGAACCUGCCCAUAGGUCUGGGAUAACCACGAGAAAUCGGGGCUAAUACCGGAUGUGUCAUCGGACCGCAUGGUCCGCUGAUGAAAGGCGCUCCGGCGUCGCCCAUGGAUGGCUUUGCGGUGCAUUAGCUAGUUGGUGGGGUAACGGCCCACCAAGGCGACGAGGCAGAGCCGACCCGAGGGGGUGAUCGGCCACACUGGGACUGAGACACGGCCCAGACUCCUACGGGAGGCAGCAGUAGGGAAUCUUCCACAAUGGACGAAAGUCUGAUGGAGCAACGCCGCGUGAACGAUGAAGGCUUUCGGGUCGUAAAGUUCUGUUGUAAGGGAAGAACAAGUGCCGCAGGCAAUGGCGGCACCUUGACGGUACCUUGCGAGAAAGCCACGGCUAACUACGUGCCAGCCGCCGCAGUAA